rnacentral:rRNA from 1 species
UGGAUACACUUAGUGGCGGACGGGUGAGUAACGCGUGGGUACCUGCCUCACACUGGGGGAUAACAGUUAGAAAUAGCUGCUAAUACCGCAUAAGUCCGCAUGGAAAAAACUCCGGUGGUGUGAGAUGGACCCGCGUCUGAUUAGCCAGUUGGCGGGGUAACGGCCCACCAAAGCGACGAUCAGUAGCCGGCCUGAGAGGGUGAACGGCCACAUUGGGACUGAGACACGGCCCAAACUCCUACGGGAGGCAGCAGUGGGGAAUAUUGCACAAUGGGGGAAACCCUGAUGCAGCGACGCCGCGUGAGUGAAGAAGUAUUUCGGUAUGUAAAGCUCUAUCAGCAGGGAAGAAGUGACGGUACCUGAAUAAGAAGCCCCGGCUAACUACGUGCCAGCAGCCGCGGUAAUACGUAGGGGGCAAGCGUUAUCCGGAUUUACUGGGUGUAAAGGGAGCGUAGACGGCAAGGCAAGUCUGAAGUGAAAGCCCGGUGCUUAACGCCGGGACUGCUUUGGAAACUGUUUAGCUGGAGUGCCGGAGAGGUAAGCGGAAUUCCUAGUGUAGCGGUGAAAUGCGUAGAUAUUAGGAAGAACACCAGUGGCGAAGGCGGCUUACUGGACGGUAACUGACGUUGAGGCUCGAAAGC